rnacentral:rRNA from 1 species
UACGGGGGGGGCAAGCGUUGUUCGGAAUUACUGGGCGUAAAGGGCUCGUAGGCGGCCAACUAAGUCAGACGUGAAAUCCCCGGGCUCAACCUGGGAACUGCAUUUGUGACUGCAUCGCUGGAGUACGGCAGAGGGGGAUGGAAUUCCGCGUGUAGCAGUGAAAUGCGUAGAGAUGCGGAGGAACACCGAUGGCGAAGGCAGCCCCCUGGGCCAAUACUGACGCUCAGGCACGAAAGCGUGGGGAGCAAACAGG